AGGGGUGUAGCUUAGUGGUAGAGCACUUGCCUACCAUAUGUGAGGCCCUGGGUUCCAUCCCCAGCACUGCAA
rnacentral:tRNA from 1 species